rnacentral:rRNA from 1 species
AUAAUGGGUCAGCGACUUAUAUUCUGUAGCAAGGUUAACCGAAUAGGGGAGCCGAAGGGAAACCGAGUCUUAACUGGGCGUUAAGUUGCAGGGUAUAGACCCGAAACCCGGUGAUCUAGCCAUGGGCAGGUUGAAGGUUGGGUAACACUAACUGGAGGACCGAACCGACUAAUGUUGAAAAAUUAGCGGAUGACUUGUGGCUGGGGGUGAAAGGCCAAUCAAACCGGGAGAUAGCUGGUUCUCCCCGAAAGCUAUUUAGGUAGCGCCUCGUGAAUUCAUCUCCGGGGGUAGAGCACUGUUUCGGCAAGGGGGUCAUCCCGACUUACCAACCCGAUGCAAACUGCGAAUACCGGAGAAUGUUAUCACGGGAGACACACGGCGGGUGCUAACGUCCGUCGUGAAGAGGGAAACAACCCAGACCGCCAGCUAAGGUCCCAAAGUCAUGGUUAAGUGGGAAACGAUGUGGGAAGGCCCAGACAGCCAGGAUGUUGGCUUAGAAGCAGCCAUCAUUUAAAGAAAGCGUAAUAGCUCACUGGUCGAGUCGGCCUGCGCGGAAGAUGUAACGGGGCUAAACCAUGCACCGAAGCUGCGGCAGCGACGCUGAUGCGUUGUUGGGUAGGGGAGCGUUCUGUAAGCCUGCGAAGGUGUGCUGUGAGGCAUGCUGGAGGUAUCAGAAGUGCGAAUGCUGACAUAAGUAACGAUAAAGCGGGUGAAAAGCCCGCUCGCCGGAAGACCAAGGGUUCCUGUCCAACGUUAAUCGGGGCAGGGUGAGUCGACCCCUAAGGCGAGGCCGAAAGGCGUAGUCGAUGGGAAACAGGUUAAUAUUCCUGUACUUGGUGUUACUGCGAAGGGGGGACGGAGAAGGCUAUGUUGGCCGGGCGACGGUUGUCCCGGUUUAAGCGUGUAGGCUGGUUUUCCAGGCAAAUCCGGAAAAUCAAGGCUGAGGCGUGAUGACGAGGCACUGCGGUGCUGAAGCAACAAAUGCCCUGCUUCCAGGAAAAGCCUCUAAGCAUCAGGUAACAUCAAAUCGUACCCCAAACCGACACAGGUGGUCAGGUAGAGAAUACCAAGGCGCUUGAGAGAACUCGGGUGAAGGAACUAGGCAAAAUGGUGCCGUAACUUCGGGAGAAGGCACGCUGAUAUGUAGGUGAAGUCCCUCGCGGAUGGAGCUGAAAUCAGUCGAAGAUACCAGCUGGCUGCAACUGUUUAUUAAAAACACAGCACUGUGCAAACACGAAAGUGGACGUAUACGGUGUGACGCCUGCCCGGUGCCGGAAGGUUAAUUGAUGGGGUUAGCGCAAGCGAAGCUCUUGAUCGAAGCCCCGGUAAACGGCGGCCGUAACUAUAACGGUCCUAAGGUAGCGAAAUUCCUUGUCGGGUAAGUUCCGACCUGCACGAAUGGCGUAAUGAUGGCCAGGCUGUCUCCACCCGAGACUCAGUGAAAUUGAACUCGCUGUGAAGAUGCAGUGUACCCGCGGCAAGACGGAAAGACCCCGUGAACCUUUACUAUAGCUUGACACUGAACAUUGAGCCUUGAUG